UACGUAGGGGGCGAGCGUUGUCCGAAUUUACUGGGCGUAAAGCGCGCGUAGGCGGGUUCUUAAGUCUGGGUUGAAAGGUUCAACGCUCAACGUGAACAGUGCCUUGGAUACUGGGAGACUUGAGUCUGGGAGGGGGUAGUGGAAUUCCUGGUGUAGCGGUGAAAUGCGUAGAUAUCAGGAGGAACACCGGUGGCGAAGGCGGCUACCUGGCCUAAGACUGACGCUGAGGUGCGAAAGCGUG
rnacentral:rRNA from 1 species